rnacentral:rRNA from 1 species
CAAGAUCGUGAGAUGGAGCAAAUCCCAGAAAUAACGUCCCAGUUCGGAUUGUAGUCUGCAACCCGGCUACAUGAAGCUGGAAUCGCUAGUAAUCGCGGAUCAGAAUGCCGCGGUGAAUACGUUCCCGGGUCUUGUACACACCGCCCGUCACACCAUGGGAGCCGGAAAUGCCCGAAGUCAGUGACCCAACCGCAAGGAGGGAGCUGCCGAAGGUGGAGCUGGUAACUGGGGUGAAGUCGUAACAAGGUACC